rnacentral:rRNA from 1 species
CUACGGGCGGCUCCAGUUAGGAAUAUUGCACAAUGGGGGGAACCCUGAUGCAGCAACGCCGCGUGGAGGAUGACGCAUUUCGGUGUGUAAACUCCUUUUAUAUGUCAAGAAAAUGACGGUAGCAUAUGAAUAAGCACCCGCUAACUCCGUGCCAGCAGCCGCGGUAAUACGGAGGGUGCAAGCGUUAAUCGGAAUCACUGGGCGUAAAGGACGCGUAGGCGGGUUGGAAAGUCAGGUGUGAAAUCCUACAGCUUAACUGUAGAACUGCACUUGAAACUUCUAAUCUAGAGUAUGGGAGGGGGAGAUGGAAUUAGUGGUGUAGGGGUAAAAUCCGUAGAUAUCACUAGGAAUACCUAAAGCGAAGGCGAUCUCCUGGAACAUUACUGACGCUAAGGCGUGAAAGCGUGGGGAGCAAACAGGAUUAGAUACCCCGGUAGUC